GUAGAAAAACAGGCUUCGGGUGAGCCCCAUAAGUCGCGAAGCUGUAGGAACCGCGACUAAUGGUACCUUUAGUCGCGGUUCGGGAGGCGAACCGCGACCAAAGGCCUGGGCCCAGGGCGCUCGGUGGCCAGCCGGUGCACGUGGGGGCCUUUAGUCGCGGUUGGCCAGGCCAACCGGGACUAAAGCCCCCCCCCCCCCCCCCUAUAUAUACCCAUCCAGCAGCCAACACUUAGCCAUUUGGUGCCAUUCUCUUCACAAACUUCACAAGUGGGUGUUAGGUUUGCUUUUGGUUCCUCUUAUGCACAUAAGGUGUUUGAUGAAA